rnacentral:rRNA from 1 species
UGGGGAAUAUUGGACAAUGGAGGAAACUCUGAUCCAGCAAUUCUGUGUGUGUGAAGAAGGUUUUAGGACUGUAAAACACUUUUAGUAGGGAAGAAAAAAAUGACGGUACCUACAGAAGAAGCAACGGCUAAAUACGUGCCAGCAGCCGCGGUAAUACGUAUGUUGCGAGCGUUAUCCGGAAUUAUUGGGCUUAAAGGGCAUCUAGGCGGUAAGACAAGUUGAAGGUGAAAACCUGUGGCUCAACCAUAGGCUUACCUACAAAACUGUUGGACUAGAGUACUGGAGAGGUGGGUGGAACUACACGAGUAGAGGUGAAAUUCGUAGAUAUGUGUAGGAAUGCCGAUGAUGAAGAUGACUCACUGGACAGAAACUGACGCUGAAGUGCGAAAGCUAGGGGAGCAAACAGG